UUUCCGUUGGUGAACCAGCGGAAGGAUCAUUACAGAGGUCGUGCCCUUCGGGGUAGACCUCCCACCCUGUGUUAUUUACGUAUGUUGCUUUGGCGGGCCGCCUCCGGGCUCUCGGCUUCGGCCGAGGUGUGCCCGCCAGAGAACCCACAACCCUGUGUUUAGUGUCGUCCGAGUAUUAUCAAAUAAGUUAAAACUUUCAACAACGGAUCUCUUGGUUCUG
rnacentral:misc_RNA from 1 species